rnacentral:rRNA from 1 species
ACAGAGGUCUCAAGCGUUAAUCGGAAUCACUGGGCUUAAAGGGUGCGUAGGCGGACUCGCAAGUGCUUUGUGAAAUCCCACGGCUCAACCGUGGAACGGCUUGGCAGACUGCGGGUCUUGAGGUUGGUAGGGGCCGCCGGAACUCUAGGUGGAGCGGUGAAAUGCGUAGAUAUCUAGAGGAACGCCAAAGGUGAAGACAGGCGGCUGGGCCAAUUCUGACGCUGAGGCACGAAAGCGUGGGUAGCGAACGGGA